CCUCAAAGUGCCAAAACGGCAAUUAAACCUGAAUACUGAGGUUUAAGUUUAGAAAAAACAACUCAUACAGUUGUCCGAACUAAUUAACAUCUCUGUGUGUGUAUUAAGCAGUUUGUGUGUGUGCUCGGCAGUCUAUCUGUAUGUGUAUUUAGCAGUCUGCCUGUGUACUUAGCAGUCUGUCUGUAUUUAGCAGACUGCUGAGUACACAGUCUGCUGAAUACACACACAGACUGCUAAAUACACA